rnacentral:rRNA from 1 species
GAACGCUGGCGGGCGUUUAAGCAUGCAAGUCGAACGGUAACCAUCCUUCGGGAUGGCUAGAGUGGCGAACGGGUGAGUAACACGUAGGUGAUCUGCCCUUGAGUUGGGGAUAGCCCAUGGAAACAUGGGGUAUUACCGAAUACGCUCGCGACCCUGUGGGGAUGUGAGGAAAAGCGCUUCGGCGCUGCUCGAGGAUGAGCCUGCGGCUGACUAGUUAGUUGGUGGGGUAACGGCCUACCAAGGCGACGAUCAGUAGCCGGCCUGAGAGGGUGAGCGGCCACACUGGGACUGAGAUACGGCCCAGACUCCUACGGGAGGCAGCAGCUAAGAAUCUUCUACAAUGGACGAAAGUCUGAUAGAGCGACGCCGCGUGGGUGAUGAAGGCCGGAAGGUUGUAAGCCCUUUCUAUUCGAGAAUAAGGUGUGGAGCAUGCCACACUGAUGACGUAGGUAGAAUAAGCCCCGGCCAAUUACGUGCCAGCAGCCGCGGGUAAUACGGAGGAGGCAAGCGUUAUCCGGAAUUAUUGGGCGUAAAGCGUCCGUAGGUGGUUAUUCAAGUCUGCUGUCAAAGCGUGGGGCUUAACUCCAUAGAGGCAGUGGAAACUGGAUGACUUGAGUCCGGUAGGGUUCGAGGGAAUUCCCAGUGUAGCGGUGAAAUGCGUAGAUAUUGGGAAGAACACCAGUGGCGAAAGCGCUCGACUGGGCCUGCACUGACACUGAGGGACGAAAGCUAGGGGAGCGAAAGGGAUUAGAUACCCCUGUAGUCCUAGCCGUAAACGAUGGAUACUAGGUGUUGCUCGUCAUCGACCCGAGCAGUGCCGUAGCCAACGCGUUAAGUAUCCCGCCUGGGGAGUACGCUCGCAAGAGUGAAACUCAAAGGAAUUGACGGGGGCCCGCACAAGCGGUGGAGUAUGUGGUUUAAUUCGAUGCAACGCGAAGAACCUUACCAGGGCUUGACAUGUCCGGAACCUUGCCGAAAGGUGAGGGUGCCUACGGGAACCGGAGCACAGGUGGUGCAUGGCUGUCGUCAGCUCGUGUCGUGAGAUGUUGGGUUAAGUCCCGCAACGAGCGCAACCCACGUUCUUAGUUGCCAGCAUUCAGUUGGGCACUCUAGGGAGACUGCCGGUGACAAACCGGAGGAAGGUGUGGAUGACGUCAAGUCAGCAUGCCCCUUACGUCCUGGGCUACACACGUACUACAAUGCUGUGGACAAAGGGCAGCCAGCCGGCGACGGUGAGCUAAUCCCAUAAACCACGGCACAGUUCAGAUUGCAGGCUGCAACUCGCCUGCAUGAAGGAGGAAUUGCUAGUAAUCGCAGGUCAGCAUACUGCGGUGAUACGUUCCCGGGCCUUGUACACACCGCCCGUCACACCAUGGGAGUUGGUUUUGCCCGAAGUCGUUACUCCAACCUGCGGGGGGGGACGCCG